AGAAAGGCUGUUUCCGAUAGACCCCCGGCUCGAGACACGCGGUACCACACAAACACAUAGUAAAGCACAGCACAAGGUUACAAGAUUACAUAACAUAAAUACAGCACCCAUAAGUAAUAUAAAAUAGAGGAAAGCACACAGCUUCAUAAUAAAACAUGGGACACGGACUCCUAACAGGAAUAAACCCCCACCAAGUAGUUCCCUAUACUAGCGACUCAGACAGGCCCUAGUCCACUGCCCUGAUUCGCGUCCUCCAGACC
rnacentral:lncRNA from 1 species